ACGAAUUGCAGAACCUCGUGAAUCAUCAAAACUUUGAACGCACCUUGCGCUUUUGGGUAAUUCCCAAGAGCAUGCUUAUCUGAGUGUCCCUGA
rnacentral:rRNA from 1 species